UAGCAGUCUGGAUAAAACGCUGCAUCCAUCCUGAGACAUAUGCUUACUGAAUGGUGGUACUAUGUCUGAGAAAGAUCAAAAUCAUCCAGAAAGGGUUUCCUCUGGUUUUCUGCCUUGACUCUGGGAGGUUAGAUCCGGACUUGCCACUGUGUUCAGGGACAUCAGGAAGCACAGAAGGAAUUUGGACCAACAGCAGCUGGAUCAUGAUCAGGAGGUAAGCAGGGUCUUGGACUGUGUUUCUGACUCUGCUGGUGCUCUGCCUGUCCAUCCUCAUCUUAAAGGGAAAGCAGAAGUCCUUGAAACAGCGCUUGAAGUUUUCAUCCAAAAAAGCAUACAGGAUAGGAUUUA